GGGAGGUGAGAAGAUGGCGGACAGCAGCGGCGAGGCCAAGCGGCCCAAAGGCCCGCAGGCUGUGGACAGGAAGGUGAACUGGCGGCGCUGGAAGCAGGAGAGGAAAGCCGAGAAGAAAAAAUGGAAGGAAAUGAAGCUGCUGAAGAAGCUGGAAAAGCAGCGGAUGCGGGAGCUGGAGCAGAAACAAGCCGAGAAGCGAGAGGAGCAGCGGGAAGACAGAGGUGAUGCUGCUGUGACCCUAUGGGCUGGAAGAGCUGGGAGAAGGUGGUGGUUAAGUCAGUCAACUUUACAUAUAGGAAAGGUGACAACUGCACAGAUCUGAUAUAGAUCAAUCCACAAGCAAACCAGGCAUGAACACAAUGCAGUGAGAGACCUUUAUUAAGAGAAAACCUGUGGUUAAGAAACAGGGGUUGCUAUUUCUCACCACCGCAGCAAAUAAAACACCACAUGGGGCUGUCACGCUGUGGCUCUCCUCUGAUCACUCUCUGAUCUCUGCUCCCAGGGCGGCACUACACACUGAGCGUGGCCCUGCCGGGCUCCAUCCUGAACAAUGCUCAGUCCCUGGAGCUGCGGACGUACCUUGCUGGGCAGAUUGCUCGGGCCUGCGCCAUCUUCUGCGUGGAUGAGAUCGUAGUGUUCGACGAGCACGGAGAAGAUGUGAAGAGUGUGGAAGGGGAUUUUGAAGGAAUUGGGAAGAGAGGCAAGGCUUGUGUGCAGCUGGCUCGGAUCCUGCAGUACUUGGAGUGCCCUCAGUACCUGAGGAAAUCCUUUUUUCCAAAACACGAGGAUCUGCAGUUUGCAGGGCUGCUCAACCCCCUGGACAGCCCCCACCACAUGCGGGUGGAUGAGGACUCAGAGUACCGGGAAGGUGUUGUGUUGGAUCGGCCAACCAAGCCAGGCAGAGGCUCUUUUGUUAACUGUGGGAUGAGGAAGUUCUAGAAAUGUCUCUUGCUGAUGGUGACUGUCGCUGCAGGAGGUGCAGAUCGACAGACAGCUGAACCCUGGUCUGCGAGUCACCGUGCGCCUGGAGGAACCCCAGAAGCCAGAAGCUAAAGUGCGGAAAGGCACCGUGGUGUCCUCGCAGCACCCCCGGACAGUGUCGGGCUUGUACUGGGGUUACAGCGUCCGCCUUGCCUCCUGCCUGAGUGCUGUGUUUUCGGAGUGCCCGUUCAAGGAAGGCUACGAUCUCUCUAUUGGGACCUCAGAGCGGGGCAGCUCUGUGGACGAGGCCACUCUCCCUUCCUUCAGACAUGCCCUUGUUGUGUUUGGAGGUCUCGAGGGUUUGGAAGCUGGAGUUGACGUGGACCCAAACCUGGAGGUCACUGACCCGAGUGUCCUGUUUGACUUCUACCUGAACACGUGUCCCAGCCAGGGCAGCAGAACCAUCCGGACAGAGGAAGCUCUGCUCAUCUCCCUGUCUGCGCUGAGGCCCCACAUCGAUGAGGCUGUGAAGACACCAGUGACAGCUGAGGGCAGGAAAACCACAGACCCUGCUGGCAGCUGAGGAGCGCCUGGGGAAGUGGCUGGUCAGACACGGGGUGCUGGGCACAUCACUCCAAGAGCCUGGUGGGGCCAAGACAUGGUGGCUAAAGCUGGAGGCGCUGCUCGACCAAGCCUCUGGCUGCUGUUGGGAGCAGCAAGUCUGCGCCCUUCUGCCUGUAUGGUCCUGCCAAGGGCUGGUGGCUGCCCCUCAGCAGCUGGGACGAGCCUGGCAGCAGGAUCUCAACCCUUCAGACAUCUGGGGUGGGGAAUAAAGCAGUAGGAACCUCAGCUGCCUUGAA